rnacentral:rRNA from 1 species
AGGUGAUCCAACCGCAGGUUCCCCUACGGUUACCUUGUUACGACUUCACCCCAGUCAUGAAUCACAAAGUGGUAAGCGCCCUCCCGAAGGUUAAGCUACCUACUUCUUUUGCAACCCACUCCCAUGGUGUGACGGGCGGUGUGUACAAGGCCCGGGAACGUAUUCACCGUGGCAUUCUGAUCCACGAUUACUAGCGAUUCCGACUUCAUGGAGUCGAGUUGCAGACUCCAAUCCGGACUACGACGCACUUUAUGAGGUCCGCUUGCUCUCGCGAGGUCGCUUCUCUUUGUAUGCGCCAUUGUAGCACGUGUGUAGCCCUGGUCGUAAGGGCCAUGAUGGCUUGACGUCAUCCCCACCUUCCUCCAGUUUAUCACUGGCAGUCUCCUUUGAGUUCCCGGCCGGACCGCUGGCAACAAAGGAUAAGGGUUGCGCUCGUUGCGGGACUUAACCCAACAUUUCACAACACGAGCUGACGACAGCCAUGCAGCACCUGUCUCACGGUUCCCGAAGGCACAUUCUCAUCUCUGAAAACUUCCGUGGAUGUCAAGACCAGGUAAGGUUCUUCGCGUUGCAUCGAAUUAAACCACAUGCUCCACCGCUUGUGCGGGCCCCCGUCAAUUCAUUUGAGUUUUAACCUUGCGGCCGUACUCCCCAGGCGGUCGACUUAACGCGUUAGCUCCGGAAGCCACGCCUCAAGGGCACAACCUCCAAGUCGACAUCGUUUACGGCGUGGACUACCAGGGUAUCUAAUCCUGUUUGCUCCCCACGCUUUCGCACCUGAGCGUCAGUCUUCGUCCAGGGGGCCGCCUUCGCCACCGGUAUUCCUCCAGAUCUCUACGCAUUUCACCGCUACACCUGGAAUUCUACCCCCCUCUACGAGACUCAAGCUUGCCAGUAUCAGAUGCAGUUCCCAGGUUGAGCCCGGGGAUUUCACAUCUGACUUAACAAACCGCCUGCGUGCGCUUUACGCCCAGUAAUUCCGAUUAACGCUUGCACCCUCCGUAUUACCGCGGCUGCUGGCACGGAGUUAGCCGGUGCUUCUUCUGCGGGUAACGUCAAUGAGCAAAGGUAUUAACUUUACUCCCUUCCUCCCCGCUGAAAGUACUUUACAACCCGAAGGCCUUCUUCAUACACGCGGCAUGGCUGCAUCAGGCUUGCGCCCAUUGUGCAAUAUUCCCCACUGCUGCCUCCCGUAGGAGUCUGGACCGUGUCUCAGUUCCAGUGUGGCUGGUCAUCCUCUCAGACCAGCUAGGGAUCGUCGCCUAGGUGAGCCGUUACCCCACCUACUAGCUAAUCCCAUCUGGGCACAUCCGAUGGCAAGAGGCCCGAAGGUCCCCCUCUUUGGUCUUGCGACGUUAUGCGGUAUUAGCUACCGUUUCCAGUAGUUAUCCCCCUCCAUCAGGCAGUUUCCCAGACAUUACUCACCCGUCCGCCACUCGUCAGCGAAACAGCAAGCUGUUUCCUGUUACCGUUCGACUUGCAUGUGUUAGGCCUGCCGCCAGCGUUCAAUCUGAGCCAUGAUCAAACUCU